rnacentral:rRNA from 1 species
AUUGAACGCUGGCGGCAUGCCUUACACAUGCAAGUCGAACGGUAACAGGUCUUCGGAUGCUGACGAGUGGCGAACGGGUGAGUAAUACAUCGGAACGUGCCCGAUCGUGGGGGAUAACGAAGCGAAAGCUUUGCUAAUACCGCAUACGAUCUACGGAUGAAAGCAGGGGACCGCAAGGCCUUGCGCGAACGGAGCGGCAGAUGGCAGAUUAGGUAGUUGGUGGGAUAAAAGCUUACCAAGCCGACGAUCUGUAGCUGGUCUGAGGGGACGACCAGCCACACUGGGACUGAGACACGGCCCAGACUCCUACGGGAGGCAGCAGUGGGGAAUUUUGGACAAUGGGCGAAAGCCUGAUCCAGCCAUGCCGCGUGCAGGAUGAAGGCCUUCGGGUUGUAAACUGCUUUUGUACGGAACGAAAAGACUCUGGUUAAUACCUGGGGUCCAUGACGGUACCGUAAGAAUAAGCACCGGCUAACUACGUGCCAGCCGCCGCGGUAA